rnacentral:rRNA from 1 species
UAAUACGAAGGGGGCUAGCGUUGCUCGGAAUUACUGGGCGUAAAGGGCGCGUAGGCGGACAGUUUAGUCAGAGGUGAAAGCCCAGGGCUCAACCUUGGAAUUGCCUUUGAUACUGGCUGUCUUGAGUUCGGGAGAGGUGAGUGGAAUGCCGAGUGUAGAGGUGAAAUUCGUAGAUAUUCGGCGGAACACCAGUGGCGAAGGCGACUCACUGGCCCGAUACUGACGCUGAGGCGCGAAAGCGUGGGGAGCAAACAGGAUUAGAUACCCUGGUAGUCCACGCCGUAAACGAUGGAUGCUAGCCGUUGGCAGGCUUGCCUGUCAGUGGCGCAGCUAACGCAUUAAGCAUCCCGCCUGGGGAGUACGGUCGCAAGAUUA